CUAGGUUAUUUUAGAAAUAUGCUCAUACUUUAGAUUAUUCUGAGAGCAUAAUGGAAAUGCGAUUUAGGGCAUGAAGCUCCUAUUACCGAUUUGGCUGUAAAAUUCUUCAAAGAUUAUAGAGAUGGUUAAUGUGGACCUACUAUCAUGGAAGUGACUGGAUUAGCUUGUCAGAAGUGGUAUAUUCAAGAAAAGUGGUACACACCUAGAAACAAUAUGAUUCUGACCUUCUCUGUUUCAUAAAUAUAGAAAAUGAAUAUACCUCCAAGCUAGGGUAUGUUGGUGAAUUAGGACUUUACUAUAUUUUGUUUCUAACCAAUUCAAUAUCAUUAAUCUGUUAACUGUAGAGGAUAGUGAAAUGGGUGCUAAUGUUCCUAAUAUUGUCGACCACACUGAAUCAUCCACGGUAGAUAAUGAGGUUGCCACUAAUUGUAGUUCAAAUGAAAGUAAAGAUGAUAGUUGACAGUCGUAUUAUGAUUCUGAAGAGUUAGAGACACUUGCACUACAAAAAAAAGGGAUAUUUCUGAUAGGUUGACUGAAUACAAGGAACUGUAUAAGAAAAUGACAUUCAAGGAUAUACAUGAGGCUCAAAAAGUGAUAAAUAUGUAUUGUUUAGCUUAUUGUUAUGGUAGAGGUUAAAAGUGAUACUAAGAGGCUAAGGUAUACUUGUGAGGUAGCUGCCCCUUUAUUUUUCACAUUUCUAAGGAUAAAAAUUGUGUUGGGGUUAGAAUUAAAACAAUGAAGGCAAAGCAUAAGUGUAACCCUUCUUUGGAUAACCAUAGGGUUGAUUAUACUAUCAUAGCACAAUAUCUAAAGACCAAAUUGCAGGAGAAUCACAAGAUAAAGGUUACGAAGAUAAAAGUAGCUCUGAAAACUACAUUCAACAUUAAUGUUAGUCAUUCAAAAUGUAAGAGAGCCAAAAGAAUGACCUUAAAAAUUCUUUAUGGUAGUUUUAUGUUUAAUUAUAAUAAACUAGAGGCAUAUGCUAAUUAAUUAUGGCUAAUUAAUCCACGAAUUGAUGUGAUAAUUAACAUAUCCAAGGAUGCACUCGCUAAAGGCAAGAGAAGAUUUUCUAGGAUGCAUAUCUAUUUUCAUGAUCUAGGGGUUUAAUAGUGGGCUAAGACCCUUUAUUGGCUUGAAUAGAACAUUCUUAAAAGGAAAAGGAAAAGGCCAACUCUUAAUCGUUGUUGCUGUUGACUCAAUGAAGCAUUUUUAUGUUAUAGCUUGGGCUAUUGUGGAUAAAAAAUGAAAGUCACCUGGAACUGAUUCCUGUCCUUGUUGACGAAUUCAUUAGACCUCACACUGGGGGAAAGAUUCACAUUUAUGUCAUACAUGCAGAAGGGCUUAAUAGAGGCAAUUCAAGAUGUCAUUCGCGAUGUACCCCACAGAUCCUGUGUGAGGCACAUGGAGGAUAACUAGUGCAAUGAAGUGAUGGGGAGUUGAAGAAGUAAUUUCCGUGGUGUUCAUGGAACAGUUAUGAUGAAGACUUUAAGGACCAAUUGAAGAACUUGGGGGAAGUUGAAUAAAGAAGUUAUUAAAGAGUUGUUGAGGGUAUCCUCCCAAGUCAUGGUGUAGAUCAUACUUUGACACAGUAUUCAAGAACCAACAAGUUGACAAUAACUUAAUCAAGUCCUUGAAUUCAUGGAUAUUGGAUGCUAGGCACAAGCCUAUUAUAAAGAUGCUUGAGGACAUAAAGGUUAAAAUGAUGAAUAUGUUGAGAGAGCAUGAAAGUGAUGUGAUGAUAUGGGCAUGAGAGUUUAGUCAUCAAACUAUGAAGUUGUAAAACUAGUUCUUAAAGAUUACAUAUAAAUAUAUUGUUGACUUCAAUGGGGAAUUGGGUUAUGAGGUGAAUGAAGGACCUAAAAAGCACAGUGUGAACCUAAAAUUAAAAAGGUGUACUUUCAGGACAUGGGACCUCACUAGAAUCCCAUGUCAUUGUACUAUCAUAGCAUUGCUACAUAAGAAAUUAGACCCUUUGAAUGGGAUUCAUCAGUGGUACACCAAGGAAGAUUUUCUCUUAACUUAUUCACAUAAGUUAUAACCAAUUAGAGGAGAGAAGUUCUGAAAGGUAGACCCAACUCAUGCAAUGGAGCCACCAGUGAUGGUGAAGAUGGCUAGUAGUCCUAGAGUGAAGAAAAUUAGAGAAAAGAAUGAGUCAACUAGUAGGCAAAGGAAGUGGUCUCAAUCUAGAAAAUGAAGGGUGAUGACUUGUUCUAUAUGUGGACAGUCCGGGCAUAAUUCAAGGGGAUGUCAAAAGCAUGUUAAAGAAAAGCAACCAAAGUAAGAUAAAGAAGAGGCUAAGAUCAUUGUUUGAUAAAGAUAGUAAAAGAAA